rnacentral:lncRNA from 1 species
UUGUUUUUUUUUUUUUUUUUUUUUUUUUUUUUUUUUUUUUUUUUUUUUUGAGAGAGAGAUAGAUAGCACGCUAUCUGUUUCGUUUAUUUCAUUUAGAAAUAAACUUAGCUAGAAAUGUAAAUCAACUAGGAUUCGAACUUGGGUCUCGGGUACCAACCACCAAACCCUUUGCCACUUGCUCUAGGGACGGUCGGUUGUUUCCGUUCAUUGUUAACACGAAAUUUUAUAACAUUU